rnacentral:rRNA from 1 species
AGCAGCCGCGGUAAUUCCAGCUCCAAUAGCGUAUAUUAAAGUUGUUGCAGUUAAAAGCUCGUAGUUGAAUUUCGGGAUCAAUUAAUUGGUCGUGCCUAUGGUACGUACUGAUUUUAUUGGUUUCUCCCUUCUGACGAACCAUGAUGUCAUUAAUUUGGUGUCGUGGAGAACCAGGACUGUUACUUUGAAAAAAUUAGAGUGUUUAAAGCAGGCUCACGCUUGAAUACAUUAGCAUGGAAUAAUGAAAUAGGACGUUUGAUUCUAUUUUGUUGGUUUCUAGGAUCGACGUAAUGAUUAAUAGGGAUAGUUGGGGGCAUUAGUAUUCAAUUGUCAGAGGUGAAAUUCUUGGAUUUAUUGAAGACUAACUACUGCGAAAGCAUUUGCCAAGGAUGUUUUCAUUAAUCAAGAACGAAGGUUAGGGGAUCGAAGACGAUCAGAUACCGUCGUAGUCUUAACCAUAAACUAUGCCGACUAGGGAUCGGAUGAUGUUAAUUUUUUAAUGACUCAUUCGGCGCCUUAC